AGAGAUUCACAUUUAUUGCAGAAGAGUGUUAAACAAGAAUAUAAACAAUAAAUAAAUCACAACCUUAAAAAUAGUACAAACAUACUUCACUACAAGCAUACAUGAGUAUCAAACUUAAGAAACACACUUUAUUGAACAAGAUUUAUACCCAAACUUUAGUUCAGCUUUGUUAAUUCAAAUUUAUAUAAAACAGAAAAGAUAUGUUUGAUUUCUAGUUAUGUUGGAUAUGUCAUAUAAAAACUUAAACUUCACACUGAAUUUUAUUGCCUGUUUUACUCUUCGUGAUUGAAAUUUAUGUUGCAAGUCUUACAGAACUAGAAGUCAUGUAAAAUAUAUAAAUUACAGUAACAUAAUAAAUGAUGCAAAAUCAGAUAAACUUCAUUAAUGGGACAUGAUAACCUUACAAUUAUGCCAUGUCCUAGUAUUUAUAGUAUCUAAGAAACUUAAAAAUAAAAACUUAACUUUGACCAAUGAUUCAUGAAAAUAAGGUCAAGGUCAAUAAACCCUAACCAUUAUUUGAUCCACUGAAUAUAGUUGACAUAGCACAAGGUAUUUAUAGGAUCUGAGAAAGACAUAAUCAUGAAAAUUUAAGGCUGACCAAUAAACCACAACACAAAAGGAUAUGCAUACCAAAAAGUCAUUCAUUUCACCACAUAAUUGCCAAGCAGUAAGGGAAUUGGCCUAAUUAAGAAACUAGAUUGAUCACUGAACAAUGAAAUAAGGUCAAUGUCAGAUAAAACCUAUCUGACAGACAUAUACAGCUUGCAAUCAUUCACUAUAUUCCAAACCCAGAAGACUUAAUACUCAUAAAAUCUGAAAUAAUUGUGAUUAAGAAAUAUGUUUUUAAAAGAAGUCAAUGAACCACGAAAAUGAGGUCAAGGGCAAGAGCAUAAGCACAUUUGUAUACCAUAUAAGGAUUAUGCAGCUUUUCUCCCUUCUGAAAAGUAACAUGUGUAAAACCUUAUACAAAAAGGCUAACAAGGACAUUUUUGGACAAGCAUCCCUCUGUCUCUCUGCAUCAGGUGAGACAAAAUGAAGUAACAAAUAUAAGACAACAUACAAAAAUGAAAAUCAAUUUAAACUGACAAAAAUGUUUUGGCUGAUUGUAAUUGCUAAGAAAUAAUGCUGACAUAUAUGGACCAUAAAACAAGAGGCUCCAAGGAAAAGUUACCACUCUAUGGCUUCUAUGUGUUAUUGAAUUAAAAAAACAUCCACAAAUAUACAAUUAUAUGCCAACAGGCUUAUUCUAUCAAAAAUCAGUUUCAUUUCAAACCAAAACAAAGUUUCCAUGGUAAAAGAUAGAGUAUUGGAAAGCUUACCAGAUAUUGCCAAUUAAAAUUGAGAAUGGAAAUGGUGAAUGUGUUGACAAAGAGACAACAACCCGACAAAAGAGCAGACAUCACACCUUAUAUUUACUUCUAUGUUAAUUUUAAUGCGGCUAAAAAUUGAUCCUUAUACCA
rnacentral:lncRNA from 1 species